UAAUUCUAAGACAUGCCCUUGUAAACUGCAGUGCCAAGCUCACUGAGCUGGAGUGCUGGUGAUUAACACUGUUUGAUUAACUGUGUUAAUUCCACUCUGUUGGCUUCAUCUUCCCCUCCUUGGGCUCCAAAGGCUCUGCACAAGUGUCCUGGUGUGAUGCUGUGGCUGCUAUUUCUAUAAUCUGUUUCCAAGCUGAGACAGCACAAUGUAAAGGUAACCAACAAACAGAUGUCAAAACAGAAAUAAAAUGAGAAAAGAACAAUCUAGGCUCCUGUUAUCACCACAAAAUAUUGUCAGAAGGGAGUGUGAAUGAAUCUUAGACCUGCUAAAUGGGAGUUGCAAACUGAAAUUUCAAAUAAAUCUUUUAAAAUAAGUCAGAUUUAAAUAGAACAUAAGAUCUGAUUAAUUAAAAAUCAUCAUGUUAGCUGUGUACAUAAGAACUCAGUAUUAAACAUUCUGGAACAUUAGAAAUCUCACAGCUCUUUCAUUUAUAUUUUGAAGCAUAAGAUUUUCUAAGAAAUUAUUUUGAGCAUUGACUCAAAGAAUCCAAAGAAGCUCUUCACUUUCAUUCUCGGUAUAUAUACAUACAUUUUUUUUUUUUUUUUUUUUUUUUUAAUAUUCAGUUAUUGGCAGUUACAUUUGCAUGACAAAUAUCUGUAAUGGUCGGAGGGGCAGCCUGGACUUACGGGAUGAGUAUGACUAUAAAUCAGAGUUAGAGGAUUACUCUGCAGUGAGAUGGUUAAUUGUUCCAUUUCUAAAGAGAAUUUUUCCUUUCCAGAUUUGCCUUCCAUCCCUUCCAGAUGAUCAGAGCUCAUACUUCUCACAGUUAACAUUUAAGCGUACUUCAGUGCACUGAUGAUACUUGGCUAGCACUGUUAAAGGUAUUUUAAUACUCAUGCAGACUCGAAUGUUACUCACUUUAUAAGCUACUACCUCCCAUUUUCUUGGGUUUUUUUUUUGUUUUUUUUUGUCUUUUCAGGGGUGUGUGUGGUUUUUUUGGUUGUUCUUUGGUUUUUUUCAGCUGUUGCAACUGGUGUUGUGAUUUACACCUUCUGGUGCAGUUUCCUGUUCUAGAGUCUCUAUUCAUUUGCUAGAUGCCUGCAAAGUACCCACUACAGAGACUUCCCUGACAACUUCCAAAUUCCUUCUCAUUCCCUUUCAUACAGUAACUAAUAAUAAGCAAGAGUCAAGACCACAAAUCUUCAGCAAAUUCCAUUGCUAUGGAAUCACGAUAUACACAAGGCUCUGAUAAUAUCUGAGUAUUUUGUACAUAAUUUUGUUUCUAGACAACUGCACACAGGGUCAGAUGCCUUGGGAGUUUAAAUCAUUUUGUUUUCUAGGCAUUAUCUAAGUGAGGAAUUGCAUGCAGGCACAGACUGCCUCCCAUGUUAUCAGAGAGCAUUUUGAAAUUUGACCUAUGUUGGAGAAUGAACUUCUCUGCACUGAAUUUCUGAGGCUGAGAUUGCAAUCUUCCUGGAAAACUGUCAGGAAGCUACGGAAACAAAGAAAUCUUGGGAAGGAAAGAUGUAUCCCAGAGUGGAUGGUAAAAAGACUUCAUUGCCUGCAACCGCUGCGCCUAUUUCAGGAGCUGACUCAAAGAUUUCUCCUGUUUCAUGACUUGACUUUCUGCUGGGCUGUUGACCAAGGGUCAGCACUCCAAUGAGGCACGAGCUGGAAGAGGGCCCACGGGCCAGGGCCUUUCCCUGGACACCAAAGGCAGCGUUAAGAUAAAAUCUGAACUGAGUGCCGGCCAACAUCCGACUGCAACCAUCAUUUACUCAUUCCUCAUCUUUCACAAUGUUGCAGCUGGAUUUGUACAUCUGGAAGUUGGGAGAUAGUAAUGUGUGAAGCCUGAAUGGAAUUUUUCAUAUAUAGGAAACAACAGGGAGGAAGCUAUAUGAGCAGGAGCAACAAAAAACAGUGGAAGGAUUCUCUUUUCAAAAGAUGACUUAGUGGAUGGAGUUCAGGUGACUGAAAUAAUUUCCAUCUUUACAGCAUGUUUUUGGAAGCACUGUAAACAACUUAUUCAUACAACUGCUAUUGGAAGUAAGAAAGCAGCAUAUUUCACAUAUUAUGCAUGGCAUAUUGGAAUAAAUAAUUUGAAGCCACAGAAAACAGUGAUAGAGCUGGGACUGGAUAAUCAAAACAUUAAGUAAUCAACCACUGUACACAGCUUAAAGUCACAUUUUCAUUAACUGGGCCUUGCAGGCACUCACAUAAACUCCAUGAACUGACCACCUCUGUAAAACAAUAAAACAACAUGAUCCCCACCUUGCAGAUGGGGAAUUGAAAUGCAAAUAUAUUUUGUCACACAGGAAAAAGCAGGAUCUGAACCAGAUGUUCGAAGAUCUGGCCCCGUGCCUUAAGCAGAAAAUAAUGCUUUUAACUCAUAAAAGUGCUCAGACAAAACUGUUCUUUCUCACCUUUUAUGAUCUGGUUUAAUAAAGAAAAUAGCGGAAGAUCAAUAAGUAUGCUGUUAACUCAAAGCCAGAUUGGUGAUAAGAGAACAUGCUUUGAUGAAUGUGGAAUGUUAUUUGACUUUUUGUUAAAUUGGGGGAGGGGGAGGGGGGGAGGGAAGAAAAUGUCUGUUUUGCAUAGAGACAAUUUCCAGACUUGAAUCCUUUCCCUCUGUAAACUCCUUUUUUCCUUUGAUACAUCUUUUCCAAAAUUACCCAGGGUUGACCCAUAUGGGUGGCACUGUAUAAACUGCCUAAGCUGCUUUCCAAACUGCAAAUUUCUGUGAAAACUUAGUAGGACAACUACAUGGAUCCAUUAUCUUCACCUCCCUGUCUGUACUGGGAAAAUGUGUUUUAAAAGCAUUGAUUCCCCAGAAUGUGUAAAUAAGUUUGACUAGGAGGCUUAUGCAGAGAAAUGCUGUUGUGCUGUCAUCUCCUCAUCCCUCUGGAUGCUGAAUGCCUUGGCCCUGAUAAUUAGCCUCAGCUCCUGUGGGAGCAGAAAUGUGCUGACUAAACGAUUGUUCCUGUUAUCUGGGUUUCCUACUGUGCUGGGAGUUCUUUGCUUUAGUUUCAUUAACUGCCUUAAAGCCCAGCAAAAUGUCAUCUUUUUUCAGUAAAAUCUGCAUUCGGGCAAAAGACACUGUUUAAUAGCCUAAUUAGUGGGAUGAACAAAGAGCUGUGUGACAGGUUCUUCGUGUGAGUGAGUGCCAGUUCAAAUCUAUUUAACCACUGUAAAUUGAUUUGAAGGCAGCAUCAGAUGUGCCACUAGAUUUCCAUUUAUUCCUCACCGAAAGUCAGUUAAAUGCGUAUUGUCUGGAAAUUGUCCCAGGGAAGCAGAUGUGAUAUGUUUCUCCAGGCUUUGACAAAAGACCAUUUUUUGAAGCUUCAGACAGGAGUUAAGAGUGCUCAGCAUCUCCCAGGAUACUCACAGCAUAAUGGCUGGCCACAGUGUAAGUGGAAUCUGCUUUGAGUAAUAUGACCUAGAUUCAAGAAGUCUUUUGAGGAACUCUGUGAAUGGAAGACUCAAAUCAAAUCAGAUAUUUAAACCAUAAAAAUCCUUUCCUACAGAACCCAGAUGAAACUACUUUUCUUCAAUAAUCAACAUCAUAAUUCUUCAGUUCUAUUUUAUUUUGCAAUGUUCAUUUCCUGUGGCUAUUUUCUAAGAUCUCAGCAUUUACAGGAAACCUGAUUCCCUAACACAUCCACUUGGAGAGAGUUUUCUCUACUCACAGAAAGGUACUGAAAGGUGCAAAAGUUCAAACAUACUCAUCUGCAGAUGAGCUCACCCUCACCAGUUCUCUGCAACUGAUUAUAAUAAAAACAUCACCUCCCAUGUGACCAGCUCUUGCCAUUGAAAAGUAAUAAUGUCAUCUCCGGUGGGAUCCUGGAUGACAUACAGCUAGUAUUAAAACACACAUAUUUCUCCAGAUUUCGCUGCAGCCUGUAAUUUCCUUUAGGGGAAUGGCUAUGUGAUUGGGCAGAGUUUAAAGAGGGUAAAGGAAUAAACACUCUGUUAAUAUUAAAGGGAAACAGAAAAGAUGACUGCCGUAGUAAAAGAGAUUGUAGCUUGGCAGCUGGGGUAAACAUGUCAGGCAGCACUGAUAAUAUGGGCUGAUAUCUAUUCUUAUUCAUUAUAUAGGAAGUUAUAUGGCUUUGAAUUUUAAAAGUUAAUAUUAGCAUUUUUCCUUCAAGCUAAAGAUGUUAUUGUCAAGUCUGAGCAAAUAGCCCAUUUAAAUAUUUGCUUUAUGGAGCAUUUGAUCAAGUGAUCAGAACAUUUAGAUUAGCAUCUGUUGUACAAGAAAUUUGCCUUUCUGUGCAAGAAUCCUAUCUCCAAGAAAUAGCACAGACUUCUCCUAAAUUCUAUUGUGCCUGGUGGCCUCAAGCAAGACCAGCAGUAUUCCUGUAGAAAGAAUAAAGCCCAAAAUACUUG